rnacentral:rRNA from 1 species
AGCGGCGUACGGGUGCGGAACACGUGUGCACUGCUUUAUCUGGGGGAUAGCCUUUCGAAAGGAAGAUUAAUACCCCAUAAUAUGUUGAAUGGGAUCAUUCGCACAUUGAAAACUCCGGUGGACAGAGAUGGGCACGCGCAAGAUUAGAUAGUUGGUGAGGUAACGGUCACCAAGUCUACGAUCUUUAGGGGGCCUGAGAGGGUGAUCCCCCACACUGGUACUGAGACACGGACCAGACUCCUACGGGAGGCAGCAGUGAGGAAUAUUGGACAAUGGGUGAGAGCCUGAUCCAGCCAUCCCGCGUGAAGGACGACUGCCUAUGGGUUGUAAACUUCUUGUAUAGGGAUAAAACUAACCUCGUUGAAGGGGUAAGCUGAAGGGUACCUUAUACGGAAUUAAGGCACCGGGUUAAAUUCCGGUGGCCAAGCAGCCCGGGGGUAAAUAACCGGGAGGUUGGCCAAAGGUUAAUCCCGGGAAUUACGGGGGUUAAACGGGUCCGGAAGGGGAUCUGUAAGGUUCAGGGGGUGGAAAUUUCACAGUUAACUGUGUAAACUUGGGCCUUGGAUNAAUCUGGGGGGGUCCUGAAUNNGUGGUGGAAAG